AAACUUUCAACAACGGAUCUCUUGGUUCUCGCAACGAUGAAGAACGCAGCGAAAUGCGAUACGUAAUGUGAAUUGCAGGUUUUCGUGAAUCAUCGAAUCUUUGAACGCACAUUGCACCCUCUGGUAUUCCGGAGGGUAUGCCUGUUUGAGCGUCAUUU
rnacentral:rRNA from 5 species